GUGAACUCUUACUGCCUCUCUGAUGCAUCUUAGAGCUUCCCUGAGCCCUCUGGUGUUUUCUUGGCCCUAAUACUUCUCUCUUUGGUAUUUUUUGUAUUUUAAUUUUUCUUUCCUUCCCUGUGUGGAUAUUGGAAAUGUUUCUAUCACAAAGAUCUAUAAAGCCACUUGUGGUUUCUGAGUGCUUUGACUUUCUGCUAUUGCUCAAUUCUCAAGGCUGGCUUGUGCUGCCACUGGUCACUGUGUCAAAAGGCAGGGGCUACAUCCCAGAUCUGCUCUUCCUUCACUGAAACUGGAGGACAUGGAGAGAUAGAGAAGUACAGGAAGACACCACCAGCAUGGGAGCAUGGGCUUCCACAGCGGAGGACCUCCUCCUGAAGGUAUGGACUCACAUUCUAAAGAAUAGAUUUGAAAAAUAUGAGGAACGGGUUUUAUUAGCCCGAAUAAUGUGGUGAGCGAACCGUGGAAUUGGACAUAUCAGA